UGCCACGUAGCAUCAUCACCACAAGAAUCGUACAAAUACAAAUUGUCUCCAAAUAAGACAUCUCUAACAAUAAGAUCAAUAAAAGCUUCCUUCGAUCCAUAUCUAUCCAAACAAAAAAAAAAAAAAAACAAAUUAAGGACAUCUAUAAACAUCUAUAAACAUGUGUCUAAGAACACUAGUAUGAGGAUUGCUAUCAUUGCUAGUCAUUGCAUGUGAAGAGGGAAAUUAAAGGACACUUUUAAUGCAGUAGCCUUAGCCUUAGCCUUAGCCUUAGCCUUCUGUUUAUGCUCCUCUUCUCUGCAACCAACAACCACAAAAAAUUGCAAUUCAGCAUCAACCCCACACAAUACAAAACAUUCACAUUGUAAUAUCAUGGUUAUAAACCAAGUAUAUACACACACUCAUGGACAAAUGUGCAAAAUACACAUACAUACUCACACUCACACUCACACUAACACACACACGGACAUACACACUCUCACACACUGACAAAGACUCACACACACCCUGCAUACAUACAUACACACACACACACACACUGCACACACACACACUGCAUACACACUCACACACACACUGCACACACACACACACUGCAUACACACACACACUGCAUACACACACACACCGCGCACACACACACACUGCAUACACACUCACACACACACACUGCACACACACACACACACACACUGCAUAUAUACUGCAUACAUACACACACACACUGCAUACAUACACACACUGCAUACAUACUGUGUUUUUAUACUCUGUUUUUAUACACACACACACACACACUCACUGCAUACACACACACUGCACACACAUUCACACUCACACUUACACUCACACUCACACCUACACACACACUGCACACAUACUGCAUACAUACAUACACACACACACACUGUAUACACACACACACUGCACACACACACACUGCACACACACUCACACUCACACACACUCACACUCACACUUACACUCACAUUCACCCACAAACACAGUCACACACACACACACACACGGGGACAGAAUGCAACACACUAACACACACACACUGCAUACACAUACACACACUGCACACACACUCACUCACACUCACACUCACACAUACACACACUGCACACAUACUGCAUACAUACACACACACACACACACUGCAUACACACACACACUGCACACACAUUCACACUCACACUCACACACACUCACACUCACACUUACACUCACACUCACACACUGCACACAGUCACACACACACACACGGGGACAGAGUGCAACACACUCUUACCCUCACACACACACUCUGUUUUUAUACUCACACACACACACACACACACACACACACACACACUGCAUACAUACUCACACACUGCAUACAUACACACACACACACUGCACACACACACACACUCACACUCACACUUACACUCACACUCACACACUGCACACAGUCACACACACACACACACGGGGACAGAGUGCAACACACUCUUACCCUCACACACACACUCUGUUUUUAUACUCACACACACACACACUGCAUACAUACACACACUGCAUACAUACUGCAUACAUACACACACACACACUGCACACACACACACACUGCAUACAUACACACACUGCACACACACACACACACUGCAUACAUACUGCAUACAUACACACACACACACACUGCAUACACACUCACACACACACUGCACACACACACACACAUUGCAUACAUACACACACAUUGCAUACAUACUGCAUACAUACACACACACACUGCACACACACACACUGCAUACAUACACACACAUACACACACACUGCACACACACACACACACUGCAUACAUACUGCAUAUAUACACACACACACACUGCACACACACACACACACUGCAUACAUACACACACACUGCAUACAUACUGCAUACAUACACACACACACACACACACUGCAUACAUACACACACACACACUGCACACACACACACUGCAUACAUACACACACACUGCACACUGCACACUGCACACACACACACACUGCACACACACACACACACACUGCACAUACACACACACUGCAUACAUACACACACUGCAUACAUACUGCAUACAUACAUACACACACACACUGCAUACAUACACACACACUGCACACACACACACACUGCAUACACACACACACACUGCAUACAUACUCACACACAUACUGCACACACACACACACUGCACACACACACACACUGCAUACACACACACACUGCACACACUCUCACACUCACACACACUCACACUCACACUUACACUCACAAUCACACUUACACUCACACUCACACACAAACACACACACACACACUGCACACUUACACUCACACUCACACUCACACACACAUUUUACACACACAACUCACACACACAUUUUACACACACAACUCACACACACAUAUUUUACACACACAACUCACACACAUACACACAAACACAGAUUACACACACACACACGGACAUAUUACACACACAUUUUACACACACAACUCACACACAGGUUACACACACAACUCACACACACACACACUGCAAAUAACACAGGUUACACACACACACACACGGAUAGAUUACACACACAUUUUACACACACAACUCACACACACACACAGAUAUUACACAGGUUACACACAGAUUACACACACACACACACACACACAAACACACUCACACACACACAAACACACAGACAAAUUACACACGGUACACACAAACACACACACAGAGAGCACACACCUGAGACUAAUCUCAAUUUCAUCUUAUGAAAACCCCAAAUUCUAAUCUCAAUUUCACCUAAAUAUCAAAACCCUAAUUUGUUCAAUUGCAAAUCCACUUGUAUAUUAUGAAUUUCUCAAACCCAAAACAACAAAAUCAAAUAAACCUCAGUUAAUAUCACAAACAAAUCCACACAAAUCGACGAAAAAAAUCCAAGAUUCGAAGUUUACCAACUUGAGGCAGAUGACAGCGACCAGAUGCAAGGACGACGAUGAGCGUGAGGACGAUGUCGGAGCACGGCAAGGACGACGACGAGGGCAGACGCAGAGAUGAGGACGAUGUGGGAUGUGGGAUGUGAGAUGUGGGAAGACGCGGUUUCUCUGGCUUACGAGUCCGCCCGAAAUUGGGAUCCCUCGUGAAGAACGGCUAAGCCCCCCCUUAGUCCUAGCGAAUCCCACCUAAGCUCAUUAAAGCUAAUCCCGGUGCCCACCAAACACUGGACUAUAGUCUAGUCCAGUCCAGU
rnacentral:lncRNA from 1 species